GUGAUGGUAUCUUUAAGAGCUGUACACUUAUCAGGUAAAAGUUUAGUAUUUAUAAAUGUUCUGCUUAGAGCUUUUAAGACUGAGACAGAGAA
rfam:[Clostridium] purinilyticum strain DSM 1384 CLPT_4c, whole genome shotgun sequence.